rnacentral:rRNA from 1 species
UAGUCCACGCCGUAAACGAUGAGAACUAGAUGUCGGGGGGAUUUACCCUUCGGUGUCGCAGCUAACGCGUUAAGUUCUCCGCCUGGGGAGUACGCCGGCAACGGUAAAACUCAAAGGAAUUGACGGGGACCCGCACAAGCGGUGGGGCAUGUGGUUUAAUUCGAUGCAACGCGAAGAACCUUACCUGCCCUUGACAUUGACAGAACCCUUUAGAGAUAGAGGGGUGCCUUCGGGCCUGGAAAACAGGUGCUGCAUGGCUGUCGUCAGCUCGUGUCGUGAGAUGUUGGGUUAAGUCCCGCAACGAGCGCAACCCUUGUCCUUAGUUGCCAUCAUUUAGUUGGGCACUUUAAAAAGACUGCCGGUGACAAACCGGAGGAAGGUGAGGAUGACGUCAAGUCAGCAUGCCCCUUAUGUUCUGGGCUACACACGUGCUACAAUGGUUAGGACAAAGAGUCGCCAACUUGCAAAAGUGAGCUAAUCUCGUAAACCUAAUCUCAGUUCGGAUCGCAGGCUGCAACUCG